GACGAACGCUGGCGGCGUGCUUAACACAUGCAAGUCGAACGGAAAGGCCCUGCUUUUGUGGGGUUCUCGAGUGGCGAACGGGUGAGUAACACGUGAGUAACCUGCCCUUUACUUUGGGAUAACUUCAGGAAACUGGGGCUAAUACCGGAUAGGAUCUCCUGCUGCAUGGUGGGGGUUGGAAAGUUUCGGCGGUUGGGGAUGGACUCGCGGCUUAUCAGCUUGUUGGUGGGGUAGUGGCUUACCAAGGCUUUGACGGGUAGCCGGCCUGGGAGGGUGACCGGCCACAUGGGGACUGAGAUACGGCCCAGACUCAUACGGGAGGCAGCAGUGGGGAAUAUUGCACAAUGGGCGGAAGCCUGAUGCAGCAACGCCGCGUGCGGGAUGACGGCCUUCGGGUUGUAAACCGAUUUCGCCUGUGACGAAGCGUGAGUGACGGUAAUGGGUAAAGAAGCACCGGCUAACUACGU
rnacentral:rRNA from 1 species